rnacentral:rRNA from 1 species
GACGAACGCUGGCGGCGUGCUUAACACAUGCAAGUCGAACGAAGUGGCGAACGGGUGAGUAAUACGUGUGUAACCUGCCCUCCUUGUUGGGAUAAGCCUUGGAAACGGGGUCUACUACCGAAUAAAGGGGGUUGGGCUCGCGGCAUAUCAGCGUGUUGGUGGGGGGUGGGCCUACCAAGGCGGUGACGGGUAGACGGCCUGAGAGGGUGACCGGGAACAUGGGGAACGAGAUACGUCCCAGGUGCCGACGGGAGGCAGCGGUAGGUGAGAUUGAGAGAUGGGCGAAGGCCUGAGGGAGCGACGCCGAGUGGGGGAAGACGGAUUUCGGGUUAUAAACCUCGUUCGCAAAUGGACGGGUAGCUGGAGAGGAAACGCCGGCUAACGUCAUACCAGCAGCCGCGGUAAUUC